rnacentral:rRNA from 1 species
GAUUCGUCACACUAUCAUUAACUGAAUCCAUAGGUUAAUGAGGCGAACCGGGGGAACUGAAACAUCUAAGUACCCCGAGGAAAAGAAAUCAACCGAGAUUCCCCCAGUAGCGGCGAGCGAACGGGGAGGAGCCCAGAGCCUGAAUCAGCAUGUGUGUUAGUGGAAGCGUCUGGAAAGGCGCGCGAUACAGGGUGACAGCCCCGUACACAAAAGCGCAUGUGCUGUGAGCUCGAUGAGUAGGGCGGGACACGUGGUAUCCUGUCUGAAUAUGGGGGGACCAUCCUCCAAGGCUAAAUACUCCUGACUGACCGAUAGUGAACCAGUACCGUGAGGGAAAGGCGAAAAGAACCCCGGCGAGGGGAGUGAAAAAGAACCUGAAACCGUGUACGUACAAGCAGUGGGAGCCCCACCAC